rnacentral:lncRNA from 1 species
AUUUUUUCGUGGCGAUUUCAACCCUGUCAGGGGCGUACUUUAGUAUUUUAUUAAGGGGUGCGAGUUUCGUAUAUAGAUCUGGGAGGGGUAAUAUGAGGUUUGUGCUUUUGGACUUGAAUUUUUUAAAAUAGUUUUUUGUCGAUCUCAAUCUUGUCAGGAGCGUACUUACGUAUUUAUUAAGGGUUGCGAGUGUUGUAUAGGUGUGGGGGCAAUAUGAGGUUUGUGCUUUUGAAUUUAAUGUUUUUAAAAAUUUUGCGAUUUGUUUGUGCGGAUUUCAACACUGUCAGGGGCGUGGCUUCUGGUUUUUUAAGAGGGGUGAGUUUUGCAUAGGGGUGAAA